AAGUUGAGAUGAAAACAAGAAACAGCCUGAAUUUAUCCCCCAAAAUGGUGGAUUAAAACAGUAAAAAAGUAUUGUUAUUGGUGUUGUUUUUUAACCCUUCAGAUGAUGUCCAACACCGCGAGGAGUGGUGACAUCAUCCACCUGAACGUCGGAGGGAAGAGGUUCAGCACCUCCCGACAGACGCUCACCUGGGUUCCUGACUCCUUCUUCUCCAGUCUGCUGAGCGGGAGGAUCUCCACUCUGAAGGAUGAAACUGGAGCAGUGAGUUCUGUGUGUGUUAAUAACUGUGUGUGUGUGUUAAUAACUGUGUGUGGGUGUGU